GGAUAGCUCAGUUGGUUAGAGCCUGGUACUGAUAAUGCUAAGGUUGCAGGUUUGAUCCCUGUAAGGCAUAUGAACA